GGGGGAUGUGCUCUGCUGAUAUUAUUGCUUUGGUGAAGGAUUGUGUUUUAACUGCUUCUCUUCCUGAGAGUAUCAAUGAGACGUUGAUUGCUUUGGUGCCUAAAGUUGAGAGACCUGUUUCCAUGUCUCAGCUUUGCCCCAUCAGUCUUUGCAACACCAUCUAUAAAGUUAUUUCAAAGAUUCUUGUUGCUCGGCUUUGACCUUGUAUGGCCAAUUUGGUUAGUCCUAAUCAAGUGAGCUUUGUCCCAGGGAGACAAAUUGUUGAUAAUAUUGUUGUGACCCAAGAAAUGCUGCAUAAGUUUAAAAAUUCUAAAGGGAGCAAGGGUUUCAUUGCUUGGAAAAUUGACUUAUCCAAAUCUUAUGAUCGGUUAAAUUGGAAUUUCAUUAGAGAAGUGCUUUGGGAGGUUGGGAUUCGUGGGAGAAUUCUUGAGCUUUUAAUGCAGUGUAUUAACUCUGUGCGUUAUAAGGUGAUUCUCAAUGGUGAAUUAACUGAUUCUUUCUCUCCUAAAUGUGGUAUUCGGC
rnacentral:lncRNA from 1 species